UUCAAGUGCGUAGGCUUGAGAGUUAGGUAAAUCCGGCUCUCUCUAAGGCUGAGACACGACGUCGAGCUGCUACGGCAGUGAAGUCAUUGAUGCCAUGCUUCCAGGAAAAGCCUCUAAGCUUCAGAUAGUCAGGAAUCGUACCCCAAACCGACACAGGUGGUCGGGUAGAGAAUACCAAGGCGCUUGAGAGAACUCGGGUGAAGGAACUAGGCAAAAUGGUACCGUAACUUCGGGAGAAGGUACGCUCUUGAUGGUGAAGUCCCUCGCGGAUGGAGCUGACGAGAGUCGCAGAUACCAGGUGGCUGCAACUGUUUAUUAAAAACACAGCACUGUGCAAAAUCGCAAGAUGACGUAUACGGUGUGACGCCUGCCCGGUGCCGGAAGGUUAAUUGAUGGGGUUAGCGCAAGCGAAGCUCUUGAUCGAAGCCCCGGUAAACGGCGGCCGUAACUAUAACGGUCCUAAGGUAGCGAAAUUCCUUGUCGGGUAAGUUCCGACCUGCACGAAUGGCGUAAUGAUGGCCACGCUGUCUCCACCCGAGACUCAGUGAAAUUGAAAUCGCUGUGAAGAUGCAGUGUACCCGCGGCUAGACGGAAAGACCCCGUGAACCUUUACUACAGCUUGGCACUGAACAUUGAACCUACAUGUGUAGGAUAGGUGGGAGGCUAUGAAGACGUGACGCCAGUUGCGUUGGAGCCGUCCUUGAAAUACCACCCUUGUAUGUUUGAUGUUCUAACUUAGACCCGUUAUCCGGGUUGAGGACAGUGCCUGGUGGGUAGUUUGACUGGGGCGGUCUCCUCCCAAAGAGUAACGGAGGAGCACGAAGGUGGGCUAAUCACGGUUGGACAUCGUGAGGUUAGUGCAAUGGCAUAAGCCCGCUUAACUGCGAGAAUGACGGUUCGAGCAGGUGCGAAAGCAGGUCAUAGUGAUCCGGUGGUUCUGUAUGGAAGGGCCAUCGCUCAACGGAUAAAAGGUACUCCGGGGAUAACAGGCUGAUACCGCCCAAGAGUUCAUAUCGACGGCGGUGUUUGGCACCUCGAUGUCGGCUCAUCACAUCCUGGGGCUGAAGUCGGUCCCAAGGGUAUGGCUGUUCGCCAUUUAAAGUGGUACGCGAGCUGGGUUUAGAACGUCGUGAGACAGUUCGGUCCCUAUCUGCCGUGGGCGUUGGAAGAUUGAAGGGGGCUGCUCCUAGUACGAGAGGACCGGAGUGGACGAACCUCUGGUGUUCGGGUUGUGUCGCCAGACGCAUUGCCCGGUAGCUAAGUUCGGAAUUGAUAAGCGCUGAAAGCAUCUAAGCGCGAAGCGAGCCCUGAGAUGAGUCUUCCCUGACAGUUUAACUGUCCUAAAGGGUUGUUCGAGACUAGAACGUUGAUAGGCAGGGUGUGUAAGCGUUGUGAGGCGUUGAGCUAACCUGUACUAAUUGCCCGUGAGGCUUAACCAU
rnacentral:rRNA from 1 species